AUUGAACGCUGGCGGCAGGCCUAACACAUGCAAGUCGAGCGGUAGAGAGAAGCUUGCUUCUCUUGAGAGCGGCGGACGGGUGAGUAAUGCCUAGGAAUCUGCCUGGUAGUGGGGGAUAACGCUCGGAAACGGACGCUAAUACCGCAUACGUCCUACGGGAGAAAGCAGGGGACCUUCGGGCCUUGCGCUAUCAGAUGAGCCUAGGUCGGAUUAGCUAGUUGGUGAGGUAAUGGCUCACCAAGGCGACGAUCCGUAACUGGUCUGAGAGGAUGAUCAGUCACACUGGAACUGAGACACGGUCCAGACUCCUACGGGAGGCAGCAGUGGGGAAUAUUGGACAAUNGGCGAAAGCCUGAUCCAGCCAUGCCGCGUGUGUGAAGAAGGUCUUCGGAUUGUAAAGCACUUUAAGUUGGGAGGAAGGGCAUUAACCUAAUACGUUGGUGUCUUGACGUUACCGACAGAAUAAGCACCGGCU
rnacentral:rRNA from 1 species